rnacentral:rRNA from 1 species
CACCGCGGUUAAACGAGAGGCCCUAGUUGAUAAUAUCACGGCGUAAAGGGUGGUUAAGGAAAGCACAAUAAUAAAGCCAAAUGGCCCUUUGGCCGUCAUACGCUUCUAGGUGUCCGAAGCCCAGCUCCACGAAAGUAGCUUUAGCAGAGCCCACCUGACCCCACGAAAGCUGAGAAACAAACUGGGAUUAGAUACCCCACUAUGCUCAGCCAUAAACCUAGACAUCCAACUACAAUUAGACGUCCGCCUGGGUACUACGAGCAUUAGCUUGAAACCCAAAGGACCUGACGGUGCCUUAGACCCCCCUAGAGGAGCCUGUUCUAGAACCGAUAACCCCCGUUAAACCUCACCACUUCUAGCCACCCCAGCCUAUAUACCGCCGUCGUCAGCUUACCCUGUGAAGGCAAUAAAAGUAAGCAAAAUGGGCACAACCCAGAACGUCAGGUCGAGGUGUAGCGUACGAAGCGGAAAGAAAUGGGCUACAUUUUCUAUAAUAGAACACUACGAAUAAUGCAACAUGAAAUAGUGCUUGAAGGAGGAUUUAGUAGUAAAAAGGAAGCAGAGUGUCCUUUUGAACCCGGCUCUGAGGCGCGUACACACCGCCCGUCACUCUCCCCUGUCAAAACGCAACAAUGAUAAAUAACAACAAAGCACUGACAAGGGGAGGCAAGUCGUAACAUGGUAAGUGUACCGGAAGGUGCACUUGGAUUAAACUCAGGGCGUGGCUGAG